rnacentral:rRNA from 1 species
CACUUCUAAGGAAGGCAGCAGGCGCGCAAAUUACCCAAUCCUGACUCAGGGAGGUAGUGACAAGAAAUAACAAUAAACCGGCUUAUGCCGGUUUAAUUGGAAUGAGUACAAUUUAAACAUCUUAACGAGGAACAAUUGGAGGGCAAGUCUGGUGCCAGCAGCCGCGGUAAUUCCAGCUCCAAUGGCGUAUACUAAAGUUGUUGCAGUUAAAAAGCUCGUAGUUGGAUUUCUGUGGGGACGGAGCGGCCGGCCGCAACACGCGGUUCGAGCUAGCGCUUUCCCUACAUCCUGCCGCGAACCGUGCUACCAUUAGUUUGGUGGCGCCGGGGAUCGGCUCGAUUACUUUGAGAAAAAUAGAGUGUUCAAAGCAGGCCACACGCCUUGAAUAAGUUAGCAUGGAAUAAUAACUAAGGACUUCGGUUCUAUUUUGUUGGUGUUCGGGACUGAAGUAAUGAUUGAUAGGGACAGUUGGGGCGGUCUGUAUUCCAAAGCGAGAGGUGAAAUUCUUAGACCUUCGGAAGACAAACAGCUGCGAAAGCGUUCCGCAAGGAUGUUCCCUUUGAUCAAGAACGAAAGUUGGGGGAUCGAAGACGAUCAGAUACCGUCGUAGUCUCAACUAUAAACUAUACCAGCUAGGGAUCGGCCAACGUUAUUCUAUACCGACUUGGUCGGCACCUUAUGAGAAAUCAAAGCAUCUGGGUUCCGGGGGGAGUAUGGUCGCAAGGCUGAAACUUAAAGGAAUUGACGGAAGGGCACCACCAGCCGUGGAGCCUGUGGCUUAAUUUGACUCAACACGGGAAAACUUACCAGGUCCAGACAUAGUAAGGAUUGACAGAUUGAUAGCUCUUUCUUGAUUCUGUGGGUGGUGGUGCAUGGCCGUUCUUAGUUGGUGGAGUGAUUUGUCUGGUUAAUUCCGUUAACGAACGAGACCCCAGCCUGCUAAAUAGCGCGUGUGAGCUUUGCUCGCAGCGAGCUUCUUAGAGGGACUAUGAUGCGCGAUAGCACAUGGAAGUUUGGGGCAAUAACAGGUCUGUGAUGCCCUUAGAUGUUCUGGGCCGCACACGGGCUACACUGGCGCCUGCAACGAGCAUAUCAGCUGGCCCGAGGGGGUCUUGGCUAAUCUUUUGAACCGGCGCCGUGCUUGGGAUUGACCUUUGCAAUUGUUGGUCAUGCAACGAGGAAUGCCUUGUAAACGCGAGUCAUCAGCUCGCAUUGAACACGUCCCUGCCCUUUGUACACACCGCCCGUCGCUCCUACCGAUGAAUGUUCCGAUGAAAUUUUCGGAGAGUGCCUGUGAACUUGGCUCUGCCUUGCGAACGGGAAGCUCAAAGUCACUUAAAUCUGAACAUUUCG